GAGUAUUCUUUCUUUGGAGUGCUUUAAGUGACACUUCACUUCGACAUUUGGAUCUAAUUGUUGCUAACCUUGUUUUCUUAACAUUGUUUGUUCUUGUGUUUGCUGUUUUUCUUUUCUAAUGGAUACCUAUUCAAGUGUUGAAUCUUCAAAGCCACGCUCUACUCAUAGAGCUUAUGUUCUUAAUGAGUUAAAAGAAGCAAAAAAGGCUCUUGCUCAAAAGGAUGAAGAAUUGCAAAGAUUAGAAGCACGUUUGGCCAAAAUUGAAUUGAAGCAAGAAGGAGUUGCCCAUUCUUU
rnacentral:lncRNA from 1 species